rnacentral:ncRNA from 1 species
UUUGUCACCAUGUCUUCAGGUUGCCCUCUGGGGCUUUUGGGGUAAUCCGGUGGGAUUCCGGAACGGUUCAGCCACUGUGAACACCAGAUCCGCUGCCAUAAAUCAGCGCGACCGGUGCGAGUCAGACGCCUGGCCUGAAGUAUCUUUGCGCC